rnacentral:rRNA from 1 species
GACGAACGCUGUCGGCGUGCUAAACACAUGCAAGUCGAACGGAAAGGCCCUGCUUUUGUGGGGUGCUCGAGUGGCGAACGGGUGAGUAACACGUGAGUAACCUGCCCUUGACUUUGGGAUAACUUCAGGAAACUGGGGCUAAUACCGGAUAGGAGCUCCUGCUGCAUGGUGGGGGUUGGAAAGUUUCGGCGGUUGGGGAUGGACUCGCGGCUUAUCAGCUUGUUGGUGGGGUAGUGGCUUACCAAGGCUUUGACGGGUAGCCGGCCUGAGAGGGUGACCGGCCACAUUGGGACUGAGAUACGGCCCAGACUCCUACGGGAGGCAGCAGUGGGGAAUAUUGCACAAUGGGCGGAAGCCUGAUGCAGCAACGCCGCGUGCGGGAUGACGGCCUUCGGGUUGUAAACCGCUUUCGCCUGUGACGAAGCGUGAGUGACGGUAAUGGGUAAAGAAGCACCGGCUAACUACGUGCCAGCAGCCGCGGUGAUACGUAGGGUGCGAGCGUUGUCCGGAUUUAUUGGGCGUAAAGGGCUCGUAGGUGGUUGAUCGCGUCGGAAGUGUAAUCUUGGGGCUUAACCCUGAGCGUGCUUUCGAUACGGGUUGACUUGAGGAAGGUAGGGGAGAAUGGAAUUCCUGGUGGAGCGGUGGAAUGCGCAGAUAUCAGGAGGAACACCAGUGGCGAAGGCGGUUCUCUGGGCCUUUCCUGACGCUGAGGAGCGAAAGCGUGGGGAGCGAACAGGCUUAGAUACCCUGGUAGUCCACGCUGUAAACGGUGGGUACUAGGUGUGGGGUCCAUUCCACGGGUUCCGUGCCGUAGCUAACGCUUUAAGUACCCCGCCUGGGGAGUACGGCCGCAAGGCUAAAACUCAAAGGAAUUGACGGGGCCCCGCACAAGCGGCGGAGCAUGCGGAUUAAUUCGAUGCAACGCGUAGAACCUUACCUGGGUUUGACAUGGAUCGGGAGUGCUCAGAGAUGGGUGUGCCUCUUUUGGGGUCGGUUCACAGGUGGUGCAUGGCUGUCGUCAGCUCGUGUCGUGAGAUGUUGGGUUAAGUCCCGCAACGAGCGCAACCCUUGUUCACUGUUGCCAGCACGUUAUGGUGGGGACUCAGUGGAGACCGCCGGGGUCAACUCGGAGGAAGGUGGGGAUGACGUCAAGUCAUCAUGCCCCUUAUGUCCAGGGCUUCACGCAUGCUACAAUGGCUGGUACAGAGAGUGGCGAGCCUGUGAGGGUGAGCGAAUCUCGGAAAGCCGGUCUCAGUUCGGAUUGGGGUCUGCAACUCGACCUCAUGAAGUCGGAGUCGCUAGUAAUCGCAGAUCAGCAACGCUGCGGUGAAUACGUUCCCGGG